AUUGAACGCUGGCGGCAGGCCUAACACAUGCAAGUCGAGCGGAUGAGUGGAGCUUGCUCCAUGAUUCAGCGGCGGACGGGUGAGUAAUGCCUAGGAAUCUGCCUGGUAGUGGGGGACAACGUUUCGAAAGGAACGCUAAUACCACAUACGUCCUACGGGAGAAAGUGGGGGAUCUUCGGACCUCACGCUAUCAGAUGAGCCUAGGUCGGAUUAGCUAGUUGGUGAGGUAAAGGCUCACCAAGGCGACGAUCCGUAACUGGUCUGAGAGGAUGAUCAGUCACACUGGAACUGAGACACGGUCCAGACUCCUACGGGAGGCAGCAGUGGGGAAUAUUGGACAAUGGGCGAAAGCCUGAUCCAGCCAUGCCGCGUGAAGGAAGACGGCCCUACGGGUUGUAAACUUCUUUUGUGGGGGAAAAGAGAGGAUGGUACCCCAAGAAUAAGUCACGGCUAACUACGUG
rnacentral:rRNA from 1 species